rnacentral:rRNA from 1 species
UACGAAGGGGCUAGCGUUGUUCGGAAUCACUGGGCGUAAAGGGCGCGUAGGCGGCUUUGUAAGUCGGGGGUGAAAGCCUGUGGCUCAACCACAGAAUUGCCUUCGAUACUGCAUGGCUUGAGACCGGAAGAGGUAAGUGGAACUGCGAGUGUAGAGGUGAAAUUCGUAGAUAUUCGCAAGAACACCAGUGGCGAAGGCGGCUUACUGGUCCGGUUCUGGACGCUGAGGCGGCGAAAGCGUGGGAGCAAACAGG